CCUCCUCUUCUUGGUGGGGGGUCAGGCAAGUGGUCCUGGUCCCCGCAAUGUACGGAGGCAGAGAGAAAGGGCUCCAGCUCCCUCGGCAUCAUGUCUGUGGUGCCAAAGGUUUCCAGUUUGCUGGUUCUAUCCUCAAACACCAGGACACUG